rnacentral:rRNA from 1 species
GCAGUACCGUGAGGGAAAGGUGAAAAGGACCCCGGGAGGGGAGUGAAAGAGAACCUGAAACCUUGUGCCUACAAGCACCGAGAGCUCGUUAAUGAGUAAUCGGGUACUUUUUGUAGAACGGUCCGGCGAGUUAAUGUAAGUAGCAAGCUUAAGGUACUGGAGUACCGGAGGCGCAGCGAGAGCGAGUCUGAAUAGGGCGAAUUAAGUUACUUGCAUUAGACCCGAAACCGGGUGACCUAUCCAUGAGCAGGCUGAAGCGGUGGUAAGACACCGUGGAGGGCCGCACCCACGUCCGUUGAAAAGGCCGGGGAUGACUUGUGGAUAGCGGAGAAAUUCCAAUCGAACUCGGAUAUAGCUGGUUCUCCCCGAAAUAGCUUUAGGGCUAGCGUUAUGAUAGAUUACCGGAGGUAAAGCACUGAAUGGGCUAGGGGCCGCGAGGUUACUGAACCCUAUCAAACUCAGAAUGCCGGAUAAUUGUUUCAUGGCAGUCAGACUACGUGAGAUAAGUCUCGUGGUCAAAAGGGAAACAGCCCAGAUCCGCAGCUAAGGUCCCAAAUAGAUGCUAAGUGGAAAAUGAUGUGAAACUGCGAAAACAACCAGGAUGUUGGCUUAGAAGCAGCCACUCAUUCAAAGAGUGCGUAAUAGCUCACUGGUCGAGUGGUUUUGCGCAGAAAAUGUAACGGGGCUAAGCAUCUAACCGAAGCUCGGGCAGUAUUUGAUACUGGGUAGGGGAGCGUUGUGUAAGGGAAGAAGUCAGAGCGGAAGCACUGGUGGACUUUACACAAGUGAGAAUGCCGGAAUAAGUAGCGAGAAUUAUGUGAGAAUCAUAAUGGCCGAAAAUCUAAGGUUUCUUGGGGAAGGUUCGUCCGCCCAAGGUUAGUCGGGAGCUAAGGCGAGGCCUAACGGCGUAGUCGAUGCACAUACGGUAGAAAUUCCGUAACCACCGAACUUUAAGCAUAAGGGACGCUUUCAUUAAGGUUAUCCCGGGCGAUGGUAGCCCCGGGCGUAAGGGACCGAAAACUAGUAGGGAAGUAACUGGCGUGAGAGACGAGAAAAGCUUAUGUGUAUACUAAGGUGCCCGUACCGCAAACCGACACAGGUAGAUGGGAUGAGUAUUCUAAGGCCAACGGGAGAAGGGUUGUUAAGGAACUCGGCAAAUUGGCCCCGUAACUUCGGGAUAAGGGGCGCCUGCGAGAGCAGGCCGCAGUGAAAAGGCCCAAGCGACUGUUUAGCAAAAACACAGCUCUCUGCUAAAUCGAAAGAUGACGUAUAGGGGGUGACGCCUGCCCGGUGCUGGAAGGUUAAGGGGAGUGCUUAGCGGAAACGCGAAGGUGCGAACUUAAGCCCCAGUAAACGGCGGCCGUAACUAUAACGGUCCUAAGGUAGCGAAAUUCCUUGUCAGGUAAGUUCUGACCCGCACGAAUGGCGUAACGAUUUGGGCACUGUCUCAACAGCCCGCCCGGCGAAAUUGUAGUACCGGUGAAGAUGCCGGUUACCCGCAACUAGACGGAAAGACCCCAUGGAGCUUCACUGUAGCUUGAUAUUGGAUUUCGGUAUUCCAUGUACAGGAUAGGUGGGAGACUAGGAAGCACGGGCGCCAGCUUGUGUGGAGUCAACCUUGGGAUACCACUCUUGGGAUACUGGAAUUCUAACCUGCGGCCCUGAAUCGGGUCGGGGGACACUGUCAGGUGGGCAGUUUGACUGGGGCGGUCGCCUCCUAAAAGGUAACGGAGGCGCUCAAAGGUUCGUUCAGCACGGACGGAAAUCGUGCGGUGAGUGUAAACGCAAAAACGAGCCUAACUGCGAGAAUGACGGUUCGAGCAGUAACGAAAGUUGGAGUUAGUGAUCCGGCGGUAUGUGAAUGGAAAUGCCGUCGCUCAACGGAUAAAAGCUACCCUGGGGAUAACAGGCUGAUCUCCCCCAAGAGUCCACAUCGACGGGGA